AGGAACUUGCUCUUCGGGUGACGAGCGGCGGACGGGUGAGUAAUGUCUGGGAAACUGCCUGAUGGAGGGGGAUAACUACUGGAAACGGUAGCUAAUACCGCAUAACGUCUUCGGACCAAAGAGGGGGACCUUCGGGCCUCUUGCCAUCAGAUGUGCCCAGAUGGGAUUAGCUAGUAGGUGAGGUAAUGGCUCACCUAGGCGACGAUCCCUAGCUGGUCUGAGAGGAUGACCAGCCACACUGGAACUGAGACACGGUCCAGACUCCUACGGGAGGCAGCAGUGGGGAAUAUUGCACAAUGGGCGCAAGCCUGAUGCAGCCAUGCCGCGUGUGUGAAGAAGGCCUUCGGGUUGUAAAGCACUUUCAGCGGGGAGGAAGGCGGUGAGGUUAAUAACCUCAUCGAUUGACGUUACCCGCAGAAGAAGCACCGGCUAACUCCGUGCCAGCAGCCGCGGUAAUACGGAGGGUGCAAGCGUUAAUCGGAAUGACUGGGCGUAAAGCGCACGCAGGCGGUUUGUUAAGUCAGAUGUGAAAUCCCCGAGCUUAACUUGGGAACUGCAUUUGAAACUGGCAAGCUAGAGUCUUGUAGAGGGGGGUAGAAUUCCAGGUGUAGCGGUGAAAUGCGUAGAGAUCUGGAGGAAUACCGGUGGCGAAGGCGGCCCCCUGGACAAAGACUGACGCUCAGGUGCGAAAGCGUGGGGAGCAAACAGGAUUAG
rnacentral:rRNA from 1 species